AUUGAACGCUGGCGGCAGGCCUAACACAUGCAAGUCGAGCGGAGCGGCGGACGGGUGAGUAAUGCCUAGGAAUCUGCCUGGUAGUGGGGGAUAACGUCCGGAAACGGGCGCUAAUACCGCAUACUAUCAGAUGAGCCUAGGUCGGAUUAGCUAGUUGGUGGGGUAAAAGCCUACCAAGGCGACGAUCCCUAGCUGGUCUGAGAGGAUGACCAGCCAAACGGGAACUGAGCCACGGUCCAGACUCCUACGGGAGGCAGCAGGGGGGAAUAUUGCACAAUGGGCGCAAGCCUGAGGCAGCCAGGCCGGGUGUGUGAAGAAGGCCUUCGGGUGGGAAAGCACUUUCUGCGGGGAGGCGUUACCCGCAGAAGAAGCACCGGCUAACUCCGUGCCAGCAGCCGCGGUAAUUC
rnacentral:rRNA from 1 species